rnacentral:rRNA from 1 species
CCCAUAUGUUGAUGAAAUGAACCAAUUUCUUAUCAUCAGCGAGCGUUGUCCAACGACAUGGUUCCUUGAUCUGGCAGAUUCAUUGAAGCCAACAUUUUCUCCCGUUGCAACGCACGAACAUUUGUAUAUAUAUAUAUAUAUAUAUAUAUAUAUAUAUAUGUAUAUAUAUAUAUAUAUAUCUUUCCCUCUUUCCCUACUAAUAAAGCACAGAGUGCUUCUGGUCGUACGUCGUCGCACAUUUUACAAAAAAGACCAUGUGGUUUGGGGUAUUCAACCCGCAGUCCUUUUUAAGUGGAUAACGACCACGCUUGCGUCCCCGACUCGCCCCCACGCCCAUGCUGCUCCUCGCUGUUCGCGGCGGUCCGGUGGCUGCGCUCCGUGAUGCGGAAGCUGAACGGGGAGAAGAGGGGCGGGAGCAGGGGUGGGGAGGGAGAGGGGUGGGGACAGGGAGGAAGAUGGGUGGCGCGGGUGGAGGCGGAGGAGACCGCGGCGGUGCGGGGCGAGGUAGAGGAGUGUUGCCUCGACAAGGCAGAUGCUCGACGGCUUUAGCAGGCGAGCUGGGCUGAGCCAGUCCACGCGGCGGACGAACGGGCACUACUCUCGGUCGUCCUCCUCCAGACGACAGGCGAUGCAGGAGGUGGCGGCGGGUCGUACGGACGGAUCGAGGCAGAGGAGCUCGAGGCCGACAGAGAGGUUUCCGGCAACGAGAGCAGGGGUGCUGCGGGUUGUGAUCCAUGGCCACUUCCUUCCCUGGAGAAAACGGAGAUGAGAGAGAGAGAGAGAGAGAGAGAGAGAAGGGGGGAAAAGCCCAGAGAAGAGGAGUAGACGGCUGGCCUGCGUGAGGCGGCUCUCCCGACGGCAGACGAGGCAGGAGGCCGCGGAUCCGGCUGCUCCGGCGUGGAUCCGGUGGCGCGGCGGACGGAUCGAGGCGGAGGAGCACGAGGCCGACGAAGAGGUGGCCGAAGAUGGCGGGCGGGGUGCUGCGGGGGUUGUCAAUGGCGAAAAUUGAGAGAGAAGGAGAGGGAAAAGCCGAGUGAGAGGAGGAACAGGGGCGGCUGCUGGCUGGCCUGCUUCAAGCGGCUCGGGGCACCAUCUCCGGGUGCGGUUGGAGGAGGCACCUCACGCGAGCGAGGGAAGGGACGGCCUGGGCGGUCACAAGGGACGAGGACAUGCUCUCCUGCUCUCAUGGCCAAGGAAAAAGGAAAGAACUGAAAGGUAGGAGAAGGAGAGAAGAUAAGGUUGGAGGAGGGAUAGACAACGGU